GAAACGGUGUAUUUUUUAUUUUUUUUUAAUAUAUAUAUAAAAAGACUAACAAUAUAACUUCGUAUUUCGAUUUUUUUUCCGAACAUAUAUUUUUUUGAAUAAUUAUUAUUUUAAAUUCACCAAGCACGGUUACUCUGAUCCACACUAUAACACGGUAGGUUGCGGUACACUACCAUUCGCAGAACAACACGAAGAUGAAAAAUAAUCCGAAGAAGAAAACCUGCGCUCCAGGAGGUGUCCUCAAUGGAAGAGUUGUGACUCUUCGACCUACCUACACAUACCCACAGACAUGCCUUCACCGAGGUUUCAUUGAAACAGAGUAGAUGUUAAGCAACAGAAAUGAAAUCACAAAGGAAACCAAGUCGAAGCCUGAUGACAUCAGCAAUCGUCUCCUCAUCGCUGCCUGGUGAAGUGAUCGGCCUGUGUGACGAGAGCGUGGACCGGUGUGCGGACCUAAGACAACAAGACAUCCCUCCCAAUGACUUCAAACAAGAGGCUGUCGUGACUGCAGACAAAAGACAAGCAAGGACCUUGCUGGAAAAUCAUCUCGGGUAGACAGGAACCUUCUGCUUGAACAAGUACUGGGACAAGAACCGUCCAUCAAACGACUGAAGCCUUCAGAAUGGACUGGUGGCGCAGAGACUUCUCCGGGAGUCCUGAAUACAACAAGAGAUGAACGAGGGACCAGCCAAGCUGCUAUUUAGUCCAGGAUUUUGGUGGCAGAGUCCCCGAUGGCACUUGGACUGGAAGCCGACCUGCAUGUGGAGUCAAAAAGUAAAAGCAGGUCCAAGCUUGGAGAUCUACUUCACCUUUAGCUUGAACACAACUGCACAAGAACCAUCUUUGCAUCGAACAACUGAAGCCUUCACAGUGGACUGGUGGCACAGAGACUUCUCCGGGAGACCUGAACACAACAAGAGAUGAACGAGGGACCAGCCAAGCUCCUAUUUAGUAAGUUUAUUUGCAUGUCAACAUUCAAGAUUAAGCAGGUGCAGGAUCUUGGUGGCCGAGUCCCCGAUGGCACUUGGACUGUGAUGGCAUUCCGACCUGCAUGUGGAGUCAAAAAGAAAAAGCAGGUGCCAAGCUUGGAGAUCUACUUCACCAGUUGAUCCAUGACCAGGUUCUCCACGGAUCCUUACGCGCCAUCUGGUGGACGUGAGCAGCAAGAACAUGCAAGUGUCCAGGAGCGAGAAGCCGUUUUGUUUUUUAUACCACCAAUGUGCAUCUCGGCUUUCUGAAGUCCAUCAAGAGGCUGUCGUGACUGCAGACGGCAAAAGAAAAAGACAAGAAAGCUUACUGCUUGAAAGUCAUCUCAGGUGUCCUUACCCUCCUUCAGUUUCAUCUGCAGCGUGUUCUUCCUGGGGUGAUACAAGAGGUCAACACUGACAGACUUUACCACCAGUGGGAGCAGGGCAGAGCUGGACAACUCGUCAGUGACGGCCUGAAAGACAACAAAAUUAGCGGUCGACUUCUCCCAAUUCAACGUGACAUUUUCUUGACAUGCUUUUCAGGAGUAGACUCAAAAAAUAAAAAAUAAAUAAAAGUCUUAAACCUUGUCCCAAACGUCACAGGUGGUCAGCCAUUUUAAGGUCAAGUUGGCCAUUCUGUUGCAGAUUUGAACUUGUGGACAGAAAUGAGACAAUUAGAUAUACUUGAUUCAUUAUGUUUAAAUUAAAGAAAAAAAAGAACACGUUGGUCACUUUAGGUUGAAGUUUUGCACCUGUGGACAGAAAGGAGACAAUUAACACAAGCAUUUGAACGCCUGUCUUUCAUUCUGUUGGAUUGUGAAUAUGUACAAGUUUCGUCCAGAUGCCGGAAAAGCUUUGAGCCAAUACUUGAAUGAUAAAGCGUGCAUUCAUUUCUCCUCCUAUAUACGCCAGAUAAAUGUGUUUUGGUCUCA